GGGGCAUGAAGCGUUCGACUCCUAACCCAUGUGAACAUAUCUCUUUGUUGCCUCGGCGCAAGCUACCCGGGACCUCGCGCCCCGUGCGGCCCGCCGGCGGACAAACCAAACUCUGUUAUCUUCGUUGAUUAUCUGAGUGUCUUAUUUAAUAAGUCAAAACUUUCAACAACGGAUCUCUUGGUUCUGGCAUCGAUGAAGAACGCAGCGAAAUGCGAUAAGUAAUGUGAAUUGCAGAAUUCAGUGAAUCAUCGAAUCUUUGAACGCACAUUGCGCCCAUUAGUAUUCUAGUGGGCAUGCCUGUUCGAGCGUCAUUUCAACCCCUAAGCACAGCUUAUUGUUGGGCGUCUACGUCUGUAGUGCCUCAAAGACAUUGGCGGAGCGGCAGCAGUCCUCUGAGCGUAGUAAUUCUUUAUCUCGCUUCUGUUAGGCGCUGCCCCCCCGGCCGUAAAACCCCCAAUUUUUUGUGGUUGACCUCGGAUCAGGUAGGAAUACCCGCUGAGCUUAAGCAGAUCGAUAAGCGGAGGAAAGCAGAGACUUUUUUCUCACCCGUGACGUGUUAUUUACUCUAUAGUAAGAACGGGAAGCAGAAAGAGGAAACAAGCGCCUCGCAUCCAGCUUAACGAAAUGACGACAACUUUGCCGUAACUCCUACGCCCGAAACAAAACACGCUUU
rnacentral:rRNA from 1 species